rnacentral:rRNA from 1 species
GAUGAACGCUGGCGGCGUGCCUAAUACAUGCAAGUCGAGCGAACAGAUGAGGAGCUUGCUCCUCUGACGUUAGCGGCGGACGGGUGAGUAACACGUGGAUAACCUACCUAUAAGACUGGGAUAACUUCGGGAAACCGGAGCUAAUACCGGAUAAUAUAUUGAACCGCAUGGUUCAAUAGUGAAAGACGGUUUUGCUGUCACUUAUAGAUGGAUCCGCGCCGCAUUAGCUAGUUGGUAAGGUAACGGCUUACCAAGGCAACGAUGCGUAGCCGACCUGAGAGGGUGAUAGGCCACACUGGAACUGAGACACGGUCCAGACUCCUACGGGAGGCAGCAGUAGGGAAUCUUCCGCAAUGGGCGAAAGCCUGACGGAGCAACGCCGCGUGAGUGAUGAAGGUCUUCGGAUCGUAAAACUCUGUUAUUAGGGAAGAACAAAUGUGUAAGUAAAUAUGCACGUCUUGACGGUACCUAAUCAGAAAGCAACGGCUAACUACGUG